rnacentral:rRNA from 1 species
AGAGUUUGAUCAUGGCUCAGGAUGAACGCUAGCGGCAGGCUUAAUACAUGCAAGUCGAGGGGCAACAGGGGUAGCGAUACCUGCUGGCGACCGGCAAACGGGUGCGCAACACGUACAGAACCUUCCUUUAAGCGGGGGAUAGCCCAUAGAAAUGUGGAUUAAUACCCCAUGGUAUUAUUGUUUGGCAUCAAAUAAUAAUUAAAGAUUUAUCACUUAGAGAUGGCUGUGCGUCUGAUUAGGUAGUUGGUUGGGGUAAUGGCCCACCAAGCCUUCGAUCAGUAACUGGUGUGAGAGCACGACCAGUCACACGGGCACUGAGACACGGGCCCGACUCCUACGGGAGGCAGCAGUAAGGAAUAUUGGUCAAUGGAGGCAACUCUGAACCAGCCAUGCCGCGUGAAGGAUGAAGGUCCUCUGGAUUGUAAACUUCUUUUAUGUGGGAAGAAAUGCAUUCUUUAUAGAGUGUUUGACGGUACCAUAGGAAUAAGCACCGGCUAACUCCGUGCCAGCAGCCGCGGUAAUACGGAGGGUGCGAGCGUUAUCCGGAUUCACUGGGUUUAAAGGGUGCGUAGGUGGGGAAGUAAGUCAGUGGUGAAAUCUCCGUGCUUAACAUGGAAACUGCCAUUGAUACUAUUUUUUCUUGAAUUUUCCGGAGGUUAGCGGAAUAUGUCAUGUAGCGGUGAAAUGCUUAGAUAUGACAUAGAACACCAAUUGCGAAGGCAGCUAACUACAGGGAUAUUGACACUGAGGCACGAAAGCGUGGGGAUCAAACAGGAUUAGAUACCCUGGUAGUCC